GAUGAAGAACGCAGCGAAAUGCGAUAAGUAAUGCGAAUUGCAGAAUUCCGUGAGUCAUCGAAUCUUUGAACGCACAUUGCGCCCUUUGGCAUUCCGAAGGGCAUGCCUGUUCGAGCGUCAUUUAUCAACCCUCAAGCCCGGCUUGCGGUUGGGUCCCGCCGUGGGCGACCACGGCGGACCCGAAAGGUAAUGGCGGUGCCCGUGGGGCCCUGGACGCAGCGAGCUUCUCGGCACGCGUCCCGGUGGUCCCCGGCGCCGUCUCCACCAAUCCACCACGCAGAUUGACCUCGGAUCAGGUAGGGAUACCCGCUGAACUUAAGCAUAUCAAUAAGCGGAGGA
rnacentral:misc_RNA from 1 species